rnacentral:rRNA from 1 species
GUCUACAGCCACGCCACCCUGAACAAGCCCAAUCUUGUCUGAUCUCGGAAGCUAAGCAGGGUCAGGCCUGGUUAGUACUUGGAUGGGAAACCACCUAGGAAGACCAGGUGCUGUAGGCG